rnacentral:lncRNA from 1 species
CCAUCCAGCCUUCUGCCUUGCUGAUUGAUGAUUGAAAAAAAAUCACCUAUUUUGUUAUUAUGACUGUGGAAUGUCUUUUGUUCAUUUUAAUAUUUGUGUCACCAAAAGGAUCAACGUGGAAUGGAUAUGGCAUUAAAGGAGAAUGUCAAAUACUGCAUGGGAUGGCUAAGGCCUGUCCCACACACUCUGGGGUGCCCCUGUGAUAAUAAUAGGUGCUGAUAAACUUCCAUAUUGAGAAAGUUCACAUAUCAAGAGACUAAUGGUGGGCCUUAGCCAGCAGUCAAUGAGAAACUAAAGCCCUCAGUUCAGCAGUCUGUGAGAAGCCAAAUUCUACCCACAAUGAUGUGAGUUCAACAUGAGUUCUUCCCCACUGGAGUCUUCAGAUGAGACCUCAGCCCUGGCUGGCACCUUGAUGGCACCUUGUAAAUAAACUCAAUGCAGAGGACUCAACUAUUUUCUAAAUUCUGAUCCACAGAAGAGAUGCUUUCUUCUUCGUGGACUGAUGCAUAGUCCCCAAAACCUUCUUCAACACGGCAUCAGCGCAAUCUCCUUUGACCCACCCAUUUCCCCCAAAAUCCCUUCCUCAGAAAAAUUCAUCAUCCCACCUCCCUACAUUAAAAGCACCUUAACCUUCUACC